UCCGUGAUAGUAUAGUGGCUAGUAUCCCCGCCUGUCACGCGGGAGACCAGGGUUCGAUUCCCUGUCACGGAA
rfam:Thalassiosira oceanica strain CCMP1005 To_g25731, whole genome shotgun sequence.